CGAAGAACCUUACCAGGUCUUGACAUCCCUGACAACCCGAGAGAUCGGGCGUUCCCCUUCGGGGGACAGGGUGACAGGUGGUGCAUGGUUGUCGUCAGCUCGUGUCGUGAGAUGUUGGGUUAAGUCCCGCAACGAGCGCAACCCUCGACCUUAGUUGCCAGCAUUCAGUUGGGCACUCUAAGGUGACUGCCGGCUAAAAGUCGGAGGAAGGUGGGGAUGACGUCAAAUCAUCAUGCCCCUUAUGACCUGGGCUACACACGUGCUACAAUGGGCGGUACAAAGGGUCGCGAACCCGCGAGGGGGAGCCAAUCCCAAAAAGCCGCUCUCAGUUCGGAUUGCAGGCUGCAACUCGCCUGCAUGAAGCCGGAAUCGCUAGUAAUCGCGGAUCAGCAUGCCGCGGUGAAUACGUUCCCGGGCCUU
rnacentral:rRNA from 1 species